AUUGUGUUUUAAGGGCGAGUGCAGAUCAAAUGGCCUAAUCUCCUGUUUUUGCUCCCUGUAUGAUCCGUUUGUUGGCUAACUAGCCACCUUAUGGCAUAACGAAUGAACAGAUCAACUGGCAAAGCUAGCUAGCUGCAGUGUCAACCAUGUAGCUAGAUCAACAGCUUGUAGUGGCACGACCAAGGAGGAGGAGAAAGGACCAGGGAAGAAAAGGAAAUUCCCUUCAGAGUGGAAAGGAGAGGUUAAGAAGAGGACGAGGCUGGAGGACUAUCUGUGCCGGAGGACAAGAUGGUGCUGGUGCAACAGUAUAACUUUAGACCGUCCCCUCGCCCAUACCCGGGCGUGAACCACACAUCAACAACAGUCACCCACGAAGUUGCAGACUACCUGUGCUGG